rnacentral:rRNA from 1 species
CCCUGGCUCAGAUUGAACGCUGGCGGCAUGCUUUACACAUGCAAGUCGAACGGUAACAGGCCGCAAGGUGCUGACGAGUGGCGAACGGGUGAGUAAUGCAUCGGAACGUGCCCAGUCGUGGGGGAUAACGCAGCGAAAGCUGCGCUAAUACCGCAUACGAUCUAUGGAUGAAAGCGGGGGACCGUAAGGCCUCGCGCGAUUGGAGCGGCCGAUGUCAGAUUAGGUAGUUGGUGGGGUAAAGGCUCACCAAGCCAACGAUCUGUAGCUGGUCUGAGAGGACGACCAGCCACACUGGGACUGAGACACGGCCCAGACUCCUACGGGAGGCAGCAGUGGGGAAUUUUGGACAAUGGGCGCAAGCCUGAUCCAGCAAUGCCGCGUGCAGGAAGAAGGCCUUCGGGUUGUAAACUGCUUUUGUACGGAACGAAAAGGCUCUGGUUAAUACCUGGGGCACAUGACGGUACCGUAAGAAUAAGCACCGGCUAACUA